GAUGAACGCUAGCUACAGGCUUAACACAUGCAAGUCGAGGGGCAGCAUAACUUAGCAAUAAGUUGAUGGCGACCGGCGCACGGGUGAGUAACACGUAUCCAACCUGGCUCUAACUCGGGGAUAGCCUUUCGAAAGAAAGAUUAAUACCCGAUGGUAUAUUAAAAACUCCUGUUUUUAAUAUUAAAGAAUUUCGGUUAGAGAUGGGGAUGCGUUCCAUUAGCUUGUUGGUGGGGUAACGGCCCACCAAGGCAUCGAUGGAUAGGGGUUCUGAGAGGAAGGUCCCCCACACUGGAACUGAGACACGGUCCAGACUCCUACGGGAGGCAGCAGUGAGGAAUAUUGGUCAAUGGACGCAAGUCUGAACCAGCCAAGUAGCGUGAAGGAUGACUGCCCUAUGGGUUGUAAACUUCUUUUAUAUGGGAAUAAUCACAUCUACGUGUAGAUGUUUGUAUGUACCAUACGAAUAAGCAUCGGCUAACUCCGUGCCAGCAGCCGCCGUAAAAC
rnacentral:rRNA from 1 species